GGUUCAAUGGUCUAGUGGUUAUGAUUUCUGUCUCACACACAGAAGGUCUCCAGUUCGAUCCUGGAUUGAACCA
rnacentral:tRNA from 2 species